UGUGUACUCCCUCCGUUCCAAAAUACUUGACUUCCAUUCGUCCAAAAAUGGAUGUACCUAUAUACUAAAACAUGUCUAGAUACAUAUAUAUUUUGACAAAUAGAAGGCAUGUAUUGUGCAACGGAGGGAGUAGAAU
rnacentral:pre_miRNA from 1 species